UAUAAAUUAGAUCCAUACAUCCAAAAAAAUCAUUAAAGACAAUAUGUGAGCGGGCUAAUUUCAUAUACAGGGAAAGACGAGGUUAACCUAACAUGGUGCCUCUACAAUAAUUGUUGUUUAAGGCAACGUAUCAAAAACAGAAUAAUAUCAUGUAAUUAACUACAUAAUUGUUUAAUGUUAAAGCUCGAAGUGUGAAUUAAAAAAAAUAAAUUUACAAAUCAACAGGCUAAAAUUGUUUACUUCCUUCUACAUAUUCUUUUUUUCCUGAUAUUAUUUGAAGAUUUACACAUGUAUAAAAUUCUUAAGAUUGUUCAAUCUUGAUUCAUAUUUUAAGCAGAGUAUUUUACCCUUCGUCUGAUUAAUAUCUGUGACGAAAAUUGGAUUGCAAUUUCUCACAUAUUUAUUUAUGAAAAUUUGAUUAAAUGGUAAGAACGAGAAACCU